rnacentral:rRNA from 1 species
CCUACGGGUGGCAGCAGUGGGGAAUAUUGCACAAUGGGGGAAACCCUGAUGCAGCGACGUAGCGUGAGUGAAGAAGUAUCUCGGUACGUAACGCUCUAUCAGUAGGGAAGAAAAUGACGGUACCUGACUAAGAAUCCACGGCUAAAUACGUGCCAGCAGCCGAGGUAAUACGGAGGGGGCCAGCGUUAUCCGGAUUUACUGGGUGUAAAGGGAGUGUAGAGGGCAGCACAAGUCUGUAGUGAAAGCACGAGGCUUAACCCCGGAACUGCAUUGGAAACUGUGCGGCUGGAGUGCAGGAGGGGUAGGCGGAAUUCCUGGUGUAGCGGUGAAAUGCGUAGAUAUUAGGAGGAACGCCGGUGGCGAAGGCAGCUUACUGGACUGUAACUGACGUUGAGGCUCGAAAGCGUGGGGAGCAAACAGGAUUAGAUACCCGAGUAGUC